GAUGAACGCUAGCGACAGGCCUAACACAUGCAAGUCGAGGGGCAGCACAUGAGUAGCAAUACGAUGGUGGCGACCGGCGCACGGGUGAGUAACACGUAUGCAACCUGCCUGUAAGAGGGGAAUAACCCGGAGAAAUUCGGACUAAUACCGCAUAAUACCACGAGACUGCAUGGUUUUGNGGUUAAACAUUUAUGGCUUACAGAUGGGCAUGCGUAUGAUUAGAUAGUUGGUAGGGUAACGGCCUACCAAGUCUACGAUCAUUAGGGGUUCUGAGAGGAAGGUCCCCCANACUGGUACUGAGACACGGACCAGACUCCUACGGGAGGCAGCAGUGAGGAAUAUUGGUCAAUGGGCGAGAGCCUGACCAGCCAAGUCGCGUGAAGGAAGAAGGUUCUAUGGAUUGUAAACUUCUUUUGCAGGGGAAUAAAGGACGGUACGUGUACUGUUUGUAUGUACCUUGCGAAUAAGGAUCGGCUAACUCCGUGCCAGCAGCCGCGGU
rnacentral:rRNA from 1 species